rnacentral:lncRNA from 1 species
UUCUUUUUUUUUUUUUUUUUUUUUUUUACUGCAGCACUUUUAUUUCUCUUUACACAAUGACGUGUUGCUGGGGCCUAAUGUUCUCACUGAACAGUAGAAAACCAAAAUUUGUCAUUUCUUAAAGAAUUGAGUACAAAAACCUUACAUAAAUUAAAAGGAUGAAUACAUUUACAGGAGGGAAAAAACCAGAACAGAAACUGGGUCCUAAGGCUCGGACUUUCCCACCCUGUUAGACUGGCAAGAAAAGAAGUGGUAACUAGUUCAGGAACCCUUGCCAGCCUCGGGAAAUCCUGGAAGUCUGCUGUUGGUUAAUACCCUGCACAGAUCACUACAUGGUGCUCACAGAGAUCCACUAGCCUGGGGACUGACUGACUUUUCCACAGAUCUCCCCUGCCACCAAGUGACCGAGCCACAUGAACUAAGGACUAAAUCAAGAUAUGCACAGGGUAUUAAACAUAUACCAAGGGAACAGUUAACUUGAAUACAAGGUCAAAAAUCAGCAACAAGUUCUACGAUCCAGUGCUGAUAUCAGAUACAAGCUUCAAGGACAAAUUUCUUUUCAAAGGCUUAUUCCAGUUUCAUGAGGCUAGCAUGAGGUGUGUACAUUUGCCAGGGCAAAUCGAUACUUCAGAAUCAGCUCAUGCAGCAGAUGCCUGGCACCUGCUCAGUCCAUCUAGAAGCAUUUGCGGUGGACAAUGGAGGGGCCUGACUCGUCAUACUCCUGCUUGCUGAUCCACAUCUGCUGGAAGGUGGACAGUGAGGCCAGGAUGGAGCCGCCAAUCCAGACUGAGUACUUGCGUUCAGGAGGAGCAAUGAUCUUAAUCUUCAUUGUGCUGGGAGCCAGGGCUGUGAUCUCCUUCUGCAUCCUGUCAGCAAUGCCUGGAUACAUGGUGGUACCACCAGACAGCACUGUGUUGGCAUACAGGUCUUUGCGGAUGUCCACAUCACACUUCAUGAUGGAGUUGAAGGUGGUCUCGUGGAUGCCACAGGACUCCAUGCCCAGGAAGGAAGGCUGGAAGAGAGCCUCUGGACACCGGAAGCGCUCAUUGCCAAUGGUGAUCACCUGCCCAUCAGGCAGCUCAUAACUCUUCUCCAAAGAGGAAGAUGAUGCAGCAGUAGCCAUUUCUUGCUCAAAAUCCAGGGCAACAUAGCACAGCUUCUCCUUUAUGUCACGAACAAUUUCCCUCUCAGCAGUGGUGGUAAAGCUGUAGCCCCUUUCAGUCAGGAUCUUCAUGAGGUAGUCUGUCAGGUCCCGGCCAGCCAGGUCCAGACGCAAGAUGGCGUGGGGAAGGGCGUAGCCCUCAUAGAUGGGCACUGUGUGUGUGACCCCGUCACCAGAGUCCAUGACAAUGCCAGUGGUACGCCCAGAUGCAUACAAGGAGAGCACCGCCUGAAUGGCCACGUACAUGGCUGGGGUAUUGAAGGUUUCAAACAUUAUCUGCGUCAUCUUCUCUCUGUUAGCUUUGGGGUUCAGGGGGGCCUCGGUCAGAAGCACCGGGUGCUCCUCAGGGGCCACACGCAGCUCGUUGUAGAAGGUGUGGUGCCAGAUCUUCUCCAUGUCGUCCCAGUUGGUGACAAUGCCGUGCUCAAUAGGGUACUUCAGGGUCAGAAUACCCCUCUUGCUCUGGGCCUCAUCACCCACGUACGAGUCUUUCUGGCCCAUGCCCACCAUGACACCCUGGUGUCGGGGGCGCCCGACGAUGGAAGGAAACACGGCCCUGGGGGCGUCGUCCCCAGCAAAGCCAGCUUUGCACAUGCCGGAGCCAUUGUCAAUGACGAGGGCGGCGAUUUCUUCUUCCAUUGCGAUCGGCAGAGGACGGGACGACGGAGCAGCGGAAAGAAACGCAGUGUAAGCCGGCGGCGAAGUGUGAGACC